CACUGACCACAGUGCAGCACCAGUAACCUUGUCUUAUGUGAUCAUUAACCUUGCUGGAAGGCACAGCUGGCGACUCACUCUGAGGUUUGUCAUUAGAAUUGAGAGCUGAGCCACACAGAUACUGCAGGAGUAUUUAAAGGAUUGUUUGGUUUUCUGGGAGUGCUCUGGCUUUCCGUGUGGCAGCAAAAUGAGAUUUCAGCUGCUCUUUUUUCUAUUCCUUUUUUUCACGAUGGGUAUACUCCUUAUCAAUGGACAAAGGACAGGUAACCUGGCACUGAGGAGAAAACUGCAUAGACACAGCUGUCUCCAGAGGAGAUGCAUGCCCCUCCAUUCCCGGGUACCCUUCCCCUGAGCUUUUGCUUGGUUGGUUUUUGGCAAGGUGAUUAUGGCAGGGGAGGAGGAGAAAGUAGUUAUCAGAGAAUGAAGACAUGACAGUGGGACAAGAACGGUAAAAACCAUUUCUUAGUAAACCUGGAUUGGCAGGAAAUGAGGAAGGAAGAAAGAAUGAAGCAAAGAGUCCUACUCAAGAAAACCUCAUUAUUACAACAUUGUGAUCUGUGUAGGAGUCCUCCAACUGAAAGAAUCAUCUGAAAUCACCCAAGGACAACUGAUUAUUUGUGAGCAUCAAGGAAAUCUGAAGUAUCUGGUUUCACUUCCAGAGAAAAAAGCAGGAAUCCAGAAAAUUUACUCUUACUGAUCUGCCAUCAUACCAAGCUGGUCAAUUUAUUUUUCUGCAAAUCAGGAUGUUUAUAGUUUUGAAAGAAAAAAACUUUUCAUAAAUUAUAGUGGUAUUAUUAGAGUGGAAAAUCCUAGAUUUCUGUGUGAAUUUAUACAUCCUUACCAUAAAUGCAUCUAAACCAAACAAGCUAGAAGAAUUUUAAACUAUUGUUUCUAACUCCAGGAAUACUAACUAUAGUUUUCAAGUUUAAAAAACUACUUAAGCUAUAUUUCUUUGAUCAGAAGAAAAAAUCUAAUACACAACUGUAUCUGACAGUCGAAUUUUACCAACCUGACUGUAGAAAUAAAAUAGAAAACACUGAAUCCAGUGGUUGCAUCCAGACAAGACUUAUAAGUAGGAAACUAAUAGUUGCCAUUUUAAACAAAUGAGUGUUAAUAUUUAAGUCACUUAAAAUUGGUCACUUAAAAUUUUCAAAUGCCUAUUGUAAUAUAUAAAUGGAAAGUAUAAAAUCAUUCUCAAUUGACAGAUUAUUUUAAAGGUUCAAGUUGUUCAUUUCUGAAAUGUCUUAGCAUCAAGACAUCCUGAGAAAUAAAAAUCUAAAUUUCUGAAGCAUGACUCCUAGUAGAUUUCUGCUUGACAGAUACAAUUAAAUUGUAAAGAUAAAUUCUUAUGCAAUGUUAUCUUAAAAGUGCCAUCCAGCUUUAAGAUUUCAUGUUUCCAAGGUAGCCCAUUUAAGAAUUUAAAAUUUAAUUAUACUAGUCAAUUCUUAAGUAGAUUAAUUUGUAUCUCAUUUUUUAAAAGUUUUUCCUCUUUGUACUUUACCUGUUGUUGCACCAAUAUUAGCAAAACACGGAAAUUAAUCAAUUCAACACAUUUUUUUUCAGCACUAUUAUUUCAGAGGCACAAUGAUUCCCCUCUAAGGGGAGGAUGGCGAUAUAAAAAUGAAUAAACAAAAUUUCUGUCUUCAAGGAACGUAAAAUCUAAUAGGGAAAGAUCAAAAACAAGUACCCAAUUACAAUGAAAUAAAUACCAUAAGAAAGAGACUAGAAAAUUACUAAUGAACUGAGGAGGUUCAGUAGAGGGAGAAAAAAGGGGGAGA